UUUUGUGAGAAUUCUAAAGUCAAUAUUACACAUGACAUUGGUGGUGCGAUAAAGCACUGUAUACCCAUAUAUAACUGUCCACCCGGACAUGAAAUUUUACCAUGCAAAGCUGAAAACACUAAAGACAUCUGUACACCGUGUCCAUCAGGACUUGUCCAGCCUGAUUAUAUACAGUCUAUCGAGGACACGACUCUUACCAAGUGUUUUAAGAAUAAAAAUAUCGAUAAAUGUCGUUCAGAAGAUUUAGAGCCUAGUCGUAAAAACAGCGCAAAAGGUUGUGGUUCUAGCGUAGAGUUUUGUAAGUGUGAUACAGACAAGUGUUACUCUGGCGACCCAUGUGUCUGUACAUAUCGUAAAUGUGGUCUGGGUGAAACUAUGCUUUCAAAUGGAACCUGCCUCAAAUGUCCAGCAGGAACAUGGAAAAAUGAAUCCGGAUGUGGUCCAUGUUUUCUUUCCCAAGCUCCAGUU